CUGCUUAAAUUAUUUUUGAAGAUUGUUUGAAUGGUAUGUCUGACCACCUGUUCCCUUCAGAAAUUGUCUGGAUUCCACUGUCAGAAUGGUGGCAGCAGCUAAAGGUCUUUACUGAGUAAACAGUCCACCCAAUGGCAGUGUUGGAUAUUAGUGGUGAUGUGUUGCCUUUCAUUUUCAGAGGGAGAGAAAAGGAGUGUAUGGGAUUAAGGUCAGAAUACAGACACUGAAGCAUAUGUGUCUGUGCUCCAUUAUAACCAGUGUAGAUCUUCCAGUAAAGUCAACUUAGUGGAGACCUUUUAUUACCAUGUUCCAGUAGUUAAAGGGUGGCUACAAAGAAGAUGGAGACUUCCUUUUUACAAGGAGUCAGUCACAUGGAAAAGAUGAGGGGUAAUGGGUACAAGGUACUACUGGGGAGAUUGCAGUUGG